UAUAUAUCUGUGUGUGUGUGUGUGUGAAGGCAGUUGACCAGUGGACCCAUGUGUCAAGCUUGUUUAUUGGUGGUGACCUGGUGACAAAUAUGUAACUAUUUAAAAGGUUAUAGCCAAUAUAGCUGAGACAUGGAACCCUGGAAGACGCCCUUCCCUCACUAAAUUAUUUUUUGUAAGAUUUUUAUUGAUUAUCUAUGGUAAGUCCAUUUAAAUUCUGAAAGAGCUUUAGUUACAUGUAGAAGUGCUUUAGGGUAAUUGCCUUCAUUAGAUAAAGUGCUAUAUAAAUGAAAGGUUCAGAUAACGAACAGUGAUCAAUCUCAUAAAUCCCAUAAGCAAUACAAAAUAGAUAGUUGGGCAAACACGGACUUAUACUAUAAAUGUUUAAUAACGAUAAUAAUAAUAGUUUAGCUAAAAAAUUAUUUAUUAUACCCCCCGCGAACGAAGUUCAGGGGGGUAUAUAGGAAUCAGUCUGUCUGUCUGUCUGUGCAGAUUCGUGUCCGGGCCAUAACUUCUUUGUUCUUUGACAUAGGCAUACCAUAUUUGACACAUGAGUGUAUCAUCAUGAGAUGAUGUGUCAGGUACCUUCAUGACCUCUAUAUGACUUUGAACUUUGACCUCAAGGUCAAAAUUGAUUAUAGGGUUUUGACAUAGUCAUAGCAUAAGACAUGGGUGUAUCACCAUGAGACUAUGUGGUAUGUACAUUCAUGACCUCUUCAUGACCUUGAACUUUGAUCUCAAGGUCAAAAUUAUAGGUUUAUACCAUAAAAUAGGUAACACUUUCAUAUUUUGUGUGUAGAAUCUUUAUAGCAAAACCUUAUUAAUCUGUAAAGUUUAGCCUUGACCUUGGGGUCGAGCCUACAUUUUAAAAAUCUGACUUAUUCAAUAUCUUCUGAACUAUUUAUUUAAGAUAGAUCUUUCAUAUUUUGCAUAUGAAUUUAUUUCUUGUGGCAAGAAAAAACCUUUCAUUUCAUACCACACCAAUUGUAUACACUUUGACCUUUUCUCGAUGAAAGGAUGAAUGAUUGUACUGUUUCCUACUAUUAUUAUUUCUCUUUCAGUGUUAAUAUUACUCAUCUCAAUAAUGUAUUGUACUGUUUUGUUGAUUGUUUUUGAACAAUGAUGUAUUUUGUGAACCUCUUAAAUACUUGUUUGUAUUCAGAAAAAAAAAUAACAACUAGAUAUAAACGGAGGAUUGAAAAUUUGUAUUUCGUUUGUUUCUUCAAUGAAGAACAGUGCAUGUGAAAAUAAUAUGAAAUAGAUAUUUUAACAAAUACAUGUUCAAUGAAAUUGAACUGAAUGAUUGACUACGCAAGCAAUGACAUUUAAAGGGACUGAUUCACUAUUUACCCCAAAAUCUUGUUUUUCAAUUUCAGAUGAUCAAAUUCAACUGUCUAAUGUGCUUUAAAGGUUUUACGAAAAAUAUUAGAUCAUAAAUCAUGACAAGGUUCAUUAUAGAGAGUUUAUUAUUUGUUGUGUAAAAAAGAUUGAGCUCCAUGUUAUUGUUCACAAAAUUUAGAUAAUUUCAAUAGUUUGAUUGUAAACAUAAAAAUGAUUUGAGUCUUGUUUACAUAACACAGAAUUAAAGCUAAGAUAUUGCUCUUAUCCUUGCAUUAAUAAGCUCUAAAUGAGAUAUUUUCAAUAUUUAACAUCAACAAUAAAAACAAUAUUGUAUUAAAAAAAAAAAGUCCCUUUAAAUGAACAUAUUAGAAGUAGUUCUGUUAUCAAGAACAAUCUAAUCUCCCUGUUUGUCUAAAUUACUGUUAACAUGAUUAUUAAAUUGGAAAUUAGAUAACAAAUUUAAAUGAAGUAGUUACAAGUUGAUUUAAUUCAGUGAUAUUGUAUUUAGUGAAAUUUAGUACUGACUGAAAAGUACAAAGUUGAUUUAAGAGAAAGAAAUGAUACAAUGGGAUCCCAAAAUGUGUUUACACACACAUACACCACACAUACAUGUCUUAAAUUUCAGGGACGAGUGACUACAAGAUUGUUGUUUGCUGUUCACUGGUAUGUAUGAAAAUCCUUCAAUUUGGAGUUUAAAAUCUCCUAAUAAUUAAACCCCUUAUGUUUGUUGCAUUGACAGAAUUUUCACUGUUGGAAAUUGCGGUGGCAUCAGAAAAGAGAGGAAUGUUUCCAGCCACAGGUGUAGGCAGUCUUUCUUCAAUGGCCUUGUUGUGCAGACGGCAACAACACUCAAUUAACCGGACACACUUCUCAGGAGCAUAAGCCAAAGCCCCACCAGUUUUGUGAAGACAUCUGAAAUAGACAUUGAACAGCUUCAUAAUAAAGAUGGUUUGAUAGCCUUGAUACAUCGAAGCAGCACAGAAUAAUGUUUACCGGAAUCUAGACUUGAGGACACCAAAGGCUCUCUCGACACAGUUCCUCGUCUUCGCGUGACUGGCAUUAUACCUUUCCUCUUGUGGUGUUGUCGGGUGAAGAAUUGGUGUCAUCAGCCAGGGCCUUAAUGGAUAGCCACUGUCUCCCAAGAGCCAGCCUCCCCCUUCCAGUCUAUCCAUUAAUGCAGGAAUGCCUGAGUUAGUCUCCAGUGACGACACCUUGGACGUUUAUGGCAUGAAAACCUUUUCGUGAAACAAAUACAUGCUCAUCAUACCCUGACAUCCCCAUGAUUGGAAUCAGAGUACCAUCUAUUGCUCCAACAACAUUUGGCAUGUUGGCCACACGCGUAAACUGCGCCUUGAUGUUUAGAAUUUCAUUUGACUCUGAAGGAAAGUUGAUGUUGAGUAGGGAGCAGUUGAGAGCAUCUACAACAUCCAUUAAAAUUCUGCUCAUCGAUGGUUGAGAGAUGCCAUGUAAGUCAGCCACUUCUGACUGAAAAUCACCCUUUGUGAUAAUUCUUAGUGUUGACAAGACCUGUGGAUUAAAGAUAUUUCAAUGGUUGUCCUCUCAUCAGUUAAAAAGUGAAAUCGUAUAUGUAGACAGAUAGUAAAUAAAAACUUUUAAUUCUU